CAGAAAGUAGCUUGCUACUUUGCUGACGAGCGGCGGACGGGUGAGUAAUGCUUGGGAAUAUGCCUUAUGGUGGGGGACAACAGUUGGAAACGACUGCUAAUACCGCAUAACGUCUACGGACCAAAGGAGGGGAUUCUUCGGAACCUUUCGCCAUUUGAUUAGCCCAAGUGAGAUUAGCUAGUAGGUGAGGUAAGAGCUCACCUAGGCGACGAUCUCUAGCUGGUUUGAGAGGAUGAUCAGCCACACUGGGACUGAGACACGGCCCAGACUCCUACGGGAGGCAGCAGUGGGGAAUAUUGCACAAUGGGGGAAACCCUGAUGCAGCCAUGCCGCGUGUGUGAAGAAGGCCUUCGGGUUGUAAAGCACUUUCAGUUGUGAGGAAAGGGAUGUAGUUAAUAACUGCAUUCUGUGACGUUAACAACAGAAGAAGCACCGGCUAACUUCGUGC
rnacentral:rRNA from 1 species